GGAAGUCAUUUAUGUAAGCAGAGAGUCAUUUUAGACUGACCCAGUUUUUGGAGAUGAAGGUAAAGACUUUGAAGAGGCAAUCUCCACCGAAUUCAAUUUGCUGAAUCAGAUGCCAGUGAAACAGUAACUGGAACAUAGUAGGACCUCAAGUCAACAACACUGAAAUCAUGCUGUGAUGGUGGCUUCUCCCAGCUCCCAGUAAUGGAUCAGCCUUCACCCCCAUCUCAUCAUUUCUGCUUCCACCCCUAUUGUUGCAAGACUGAAAUGAAAGAGGAUUGUUUGGAGCCCUCCUAGAAGAAAGGUUGGAGAGCCACAUGACCUGGCCAAUUGGAUGGGAUCUGCCAAAGGAUCAGGAGCCAGUAUGUGACCCCACAGCUGGAUCUCCACUUGCUACAGGAAACCAAGUGCCCACCUAGCACAGUGGAACAGCAGCAUUGCCUCAGUUAUCUUGGGUCUCUGAGUGAUCAUGUGGAACAGUAUCCCGUCAGCCUUCAAUGAACAUUUACUCUGCGGAAGAGGGAAAUUUAAACAUAGACACAAAGGCAAGAACACCGUGUCAGACAGAGACCCACAAGAAGAACGCCAUAUGAUGACAGAGGUAGAUUAUGGAAUGAAGCACCUACGAGCCCAGGAAGGCCAAGGACCAAUGGCCACCAUCAGAUGUUAGGGGAGAGGCAAGGAAGGGACUCCCCCCUGAAAGUCUCAGGGGGACUGCUUCCCUCCACCACCAUGAUUUUGUACUUCAA